GUUCGGCAGCAAUUCCCUCAAAAUUACUCGCGAGAGCGCGGGAAAAACUAACCGCUUGUUUUUCUUCCCCCUCCCCGGGGGGGCGGAAAAAAUCAGCCCCCGAGCGAUCGCUCUGCCCCACGUCUGCCGGUGCCGCGAAGCCCAGCACAGCGCGGCAGCUCCUCCGCUGCCUCUUCCCGGCAAGGGGACGGAGCACCGGGAGCGGCGGAGAGGGCCGAACGCCGCCUCCCGGGGAACGGCGGGGAGGAAGGGGGGGGAGACGACGGGAACGGCAGCGUCCGAGUCGUUAUUUCGGCGCGGGCGGCUCGCUCGACUUGUUUAAAUGAAAACAGCAAUAACAAGUUCAGGGAAAAAAAAAUAAAAGGAUAAAAAAAAAAAAGAGAGAGAGGGGGAAAAAAAAUUGGCAGCUCCGCGCGUAUUAGUCGGAACGCUGCAGACUUGGCUCCCGCUCACCUCCGCAACAUAAUGUUAAAUGGCAGCAAGACAGUAUAUCAGUCAUUUACAUAUGUUGCUUAUAGACGCCAAACUUAUUAACACAAUAAAACCGCCGCCGCGCAGCCUUCCUGCCUAUUUUUCUCGUCGCGAACGGCAGUGCUGGAAGCACCUAGCCGCCUCGUAUGGAAACACGCUGCGUUCGCCUCUCGCGUGGCGCCGGGGAAAAUAAAUAUAUGAAUCAGCGAGGGUCCCCAGCCGACCACUUCCGAAGCGAGGCGGCGGGGAGCUGGAGCGCUUCGCCACGCCGCCGCCGCUUCCCUGCCUUCCCUGCUUGGACCGAACUGGCCCGGCAGGGAUCGGAGGCCGGCGAAGGGCCGGGGGAGGCGGACAAGCGAGGGGCCGCUUCGCUUUUGGUCCCAGCGCCCAGGAGGGGCUGCACGGCCCCCCCUGCGCCCCCGCUGCUGAGACGGGCCCGGGCAUCCCGAGGGCCUCCGCUCUGUCCCUGCAGCGCCGUGGAGCAGCUCUGCCUCCCUGCUUCAGCCUUCCCGGAUCCCUGCAGCUUCCUGGAUCACUGCAGCUUCCCAAAUCACUGCAGCUUCCUAAAUCAUUGCAGCUUCCCAGAUCACUGCAGCUUCCUAAAUCAUUGCAGCUUCCCAGAUCACUGCAGCUUCCCGAAUCACUGCAGCUUCCUAAAUCAUUGCAGCUUCCUAAAUUGUUGCAGCUUCCUAAAUUGCCGCAGCUUCCUAACCAUUGUAGCUUCCUAAAUCAUUGCAACUUCCUAAACCAUCACCUUCCCAAAUCACUGCAGCUUCCCAAAUCACUGCAGCUUCCCAAAUCUCUGCAGCUUCCCAAAUCACUGCAGCAUCCUGCAUCAUUGCUUCCUGGAUCACUGCAGCCUCCUAAACCACUGCAGCCCCCUAAAUCGCUUCCCAGUUCCUGCAGGGCCGUGGGGAGCCUCCCUGCUCCAUCCCGCCGGGCGCCUUGGCGCUGUGCCGGCAGCCCCUCGGCGAGCGGAGCGCCACCACCGUUUCGGCGCGUCCUCUUCAAGCAACGCGCGUCGGCCCCCGCCGCAGCCCCGCUCGCCCUCACGUGAUUCCCACGCUCGGGAACGGCCUGGCCGAAGCUCGAUGCGUGUCACGGGCCGGCUCCGGGGGGGGGAGCAGCAGUGGCAGGAAGCCGAUUGCUUCCCACGCUGGGGUCUGCAGCCCCUUCUGGGGUAUUUUUAUGGAUCCACCAAGCCAAAAAGGCCCCAAAAGCCACUUUUCCGGAAGGUAGAUACUGGAGGCUUUGGGAUUCCCGGGCCGGGCUCCCCGGAAAUGCAGGAAUCGCUGGCACGGUUCCCGCGGGCGCCUCCUGCGAGCGGGUCACCCGGGCACCAUGUCCCACCUGGGACGCUAACGGCCGAGCUCUCUGAGCCGCCUUGCCAGGACCUGGGGCACCUGCCCCGUCAUCCCAAGGCGCCACGAGCCUCGGAGGCUCCUUCGGGAGUCAGAGCUGCAACCGCCUGCGGGCAGCGGGACGCAAAAUCCUGUCCGCCUCCGCAAGAGCGAAACGUGGCCGCCGGAGCCCAGGUCUACGCAGGGCGCUGGACGGUGACGCCGGCGUGACAGUAAGGCCACGCCGGAGAAGCAAGGGCAGAGGCGGCCCCAGCGGAAAAGCCGGUGUGGCCACGGCAUAGGUGGGUGAGGAGCCAGCAGCAUCUUUCCUGGCCGGACUUGGGUCCCCCCCAGCCCGUGGUCGAGCCGUGUAACCUCUGCGGUUUCC
rnacentral:lncRNA from 1 species